rnacentral:rRNA from 1 species
CACCGCCCGUCACACCAUGGGAGCUGGCUGCACCAGAAGCAGGUUGCUUAACCGCAAGGAGGCGAUUACCACGGCAGGGUUCGUGACUGGGGUG